GACGAACGCUGGCGGCGUGGAUUAGGCAUGCAAGUCGAACGGUAGGAUACCUUCGGGUAUCUGAGAGUGGCGAACGGGUGAGUAACACGUAGGUGAUCUACCCUCAAGAUUGGGACAACCCAGGGAAACUUGGGCUAAUACCGGAUGAAAGCAGCAGUGAUGUUGUUUGAAAGGUGGCGUAAGCUGCCGUUUGGGGAUGAGCCUGCGCUCUAUUAGUUAGUUGGCGGGGUAAAGCCCACAAGGCGAUGAUAGAUAGGCGGCCUUAACGGGUGGUCGCCCACACUGGGAUUGAGAUACGGCCCAGACUCCUACGGGAGGCAGCAGUCGAGAAUAGUCUACAAUGGCCGAAAGGCUGAUAGUGCGACGCCGCGUGAACGAAGAAGCCCUUGGGGGUAAAGUUCUUUUAUAUGUGAGCAGUGCUUUCUAUGUGAACAGCAUGGGGAAGAGAUAUUAGCAUAUGAAUAAGCAAACGGCUAAACUCCGUGCCAGC
rnacentral:rRNA from 1 species